rnacentral:rRNA from 1 species
AGACAGGUGCUGCAUGGCUGUCGUCAGCUCGUGUCGUGAGAUGUUGGGUUAAGUCCCGCAACGAGCGCAACCCUUGCCUUUAGUUGCCAGCAGUUCGGCUGGGCACUCUAAAGGGACUGCCGGUGUUAAACCGGAGGAAGUGGGGAUGACGUCAAGUCCUCAUGGCCUUUAUGACCAGGGCUACACACGUACUACAAUGGCCGAUACAAAGGGCAGCGACACUGCGAGGUGAAGCCAAUCCCGUAAAAUCGGUCUCAGUCCGGAUUGGAGUCUGCAACUCGACUCCAUGAAGUUGGAAUCGCUAGUAAUCGUGGAUCAGCAUGCCACGGUGAAUACGUUCCCGGGCCUU